rnacentral:misc_RNA from 1 species
UAGCGCUCAUGGCUUACGUCGAGCGAGGAACAAAAUGUCGUGGCAGCUUUCCACAAUAUUUUCCUAUGAGAAUAAAUGAGCAACCAUUAGCAUAUUGUUCACAUCUUGUUGUUCAGGUGUUGUGAAAUCGAAAAGAUCAAUAUGGCGACUGAAAACUGUACCGGAUUUCUUCUGGGCUAUUGUAAAUUUUAUAGGCGUGUUCUUUGCUACAAUGUUCUCGAUGGAAAAGUCAACUGCUUGCCGGAAAGGAUCUGGUUCUGGAAAGAAAUGGGAUGGUGG